AUCUACCUUAUAGUCUGGGAUAACAGUUGGAAACGACUGCUAAUACCGGAUGUUCCCUUCGGGGCAAAGCUUUAGCGCUAUAAGAUGAGCCUGCGUGACAUUAGCUAGAUGGUGGGGUAAUGGCCUACCAUGGCUACGAUGUCUAGCUGGUCUGAGAGGAUGAUCAGCCACACUGGGACUGAGACACGGCCCAGACUCCUACGGGAGGCAGCAGUGGGGAAUAUUGGACAAUGGGCGCAAGCCUGAUCCAGCCAUGCCGCGUGAGUGAUGACGGCCUUAGGGUUGUAAAGCUCUUUCAGUAGUGAAGAUGAUGACAGUAACUACAGAAGAAGCCCCGGCUAACUUCGUGCCAGCAGCCGCGGUAAUACGAAGGGGGCUAGCGUUGUUCGGAUUUACUGGGCGUAAAGGGCACGCAGGCGGCCUGUCAAGUUGGGGGUGAAAUCCCGGGGCUCAACCCCGGAACUGGCUCCAAAACUGG
rnacentral:rRNA from 1 species